CCGCGGUUGGGAGCAGCAGCCAGCAGGCUGCCAGAGAUCCAACCGCGCCUUGCAGCGCACAGAGGGACGCAACAGGGACGGACCGUCCUUCCUGCCGUGCAAAAGGACAGAGCCUGCGCGUCCAUGGAGUGGUGCUGAGUAUGGGGGGAAACGGAAAGCCUGCGCAGAAGCUGACACGAGCGGCCUUCCAGCAAAGCGCAGCCUUGCAGAAAGGCAAGGCAGAAGCGCCCAGUGUGGCACAGCACCGAAGAGAGAGAUUGGUGCUGAGCAAAAUGGCAAAAUCUAUGUGAAAGUGGUGCUGCAGGUCCAUUCUGAGAGAUCUUGUCGACAAGCAGCAGCUCAAGCUCCUCACCAGGCUGGAGGGCUUCCUAGAAGAGCAGGUCCCAGCACAGGGGGAAGACCUUCCCCUGCCGCGUGCCCCCGCUCUGUCUCCAACACCCUGGCUGGAUGCAAACGCAAGGGCUUGGAAGAAGAGGAACCAACCGCAGCACAGCUGCCCA
ensembl:lncRNA